UGCGGUAAAAAGCUCGUAGUUGGAUUUCUGUUGAGGGCGUCCGGUCCGUACCACGUACGCGUAUCUGGGUCGCGCUCGGCAUCCUCUCGAAAGACGGUUCUGCGCUUGAUUGCGUGGUCCGGGUUUCGGGACUUUUACUUUGAGGAAAUUAGAGUGUUCACGGCAGGCAGUUGCCCGAAUACAUUAGCAUGGAAUAAUACUAUAGGACUUUGGUUCUAUUUUGUUGGUUUCUAGGACUAAAGUAAUGAUUAAUAGGGACAAUUGGGGGCAUUCGUAUCAACACGCUAGAGGUGAAAUUCUUGGAUUGUGUUGCGACGAACUACUGCGAAAGCAUUUGCCAAGGAUGUUUUCAUUGAUCAAG
rnacentral:rRNA from 1 species